AGCAAGGUUAACCGAAUAGGGGAGCCGGAGGGAAACCGAGUCUUAACCGGGCGUUAAGUUGCAGGGUAUAGACCCGAAACCCGGUGAUCUAGCCAUGGGCAGGUUGAAGGUUGGGUAACACUAACUGGAGGACCGAACCGACUAAUGUUGAAAAAUUAGCGGAUGACCUGUGGCUGGGGGUGAAAGGCCAAUCAAACCGGGAGAUAGCUGGUUCUCCCCGAAAGCUAUUUAGGUAGCGCCUCGUGAAUUCAUCUCCGGGGGUAGAGCACUGUUUCGGCUAGGGGGCCAUCCCGGCUUACCAACCCGAUGCAAACUGCGAAUACCGGAGAAUGUUAUCACGGGAGACACACGGCGGGUGCUAACGUCCGUCGUGAAGAGGGAAACAACCCAGACCGCCAGCUAAGGUCCCAAAGUCAUGGUUAAGUGGGAAACGAUGUGGGAAGGCCCAGACAGCCAGGAUGUUGGCUUAGAAGCAGCCAUCAUUUAAAGAAAGCGUAAUAGCUCACUGGUCGAGUCGGCCUGCGCGGAAGAUGUAACGGGGCUAAACCAUGCACCGAAGCUGCGGCAGCGACGCUUAUGCGUUGUUGGGUAGGGGAGCGUUCUGUAAGCCUGCGAAGGUGGCCUGUGAGGGUUGCUGGAGGUAUCAGAAGUGCGAAUGCUGACAUAAGUAACGAUAAAGCGGGUGAAAAGCCCGCUCGCCGGAAGACCAAGGGUUCCUGUCCAACGUUAAUCGGGGCAGGGUGAGUCGACCCCUAAGGCGAGGCCGAAAGGCGUAGUCGAUGGGAAACGGGUUAAUAUUCCCGUACUUGGUGUUACUGCGAAGGGGGGACGGAGAAGGCUAUGUUGGCCGGGCGACGGUUGUCCCGGUUUAAGCGUGUAGGUGUGUGUUCCAGGUAAAUCCGGUUCACUUUAACACUGAGGCGUGACGACGAGGCACUACGGUGCUGAAGCAACAAAUGCCCUGCUUCCAGGAAAAGCCUCUAAGCAUCAGGUAACAUCAAAUCGUACCCCAAACCGACACAGGUGGUCAGGUAGAGAAUACCAAGGCGCUUGAGAGAACUCGGGUGAAGGAACUAGGCAAAAUGGUGCCGUAACUUCGGGAGAAGGCACGCUGACACGUAGGUGAAGUGAUUUACUCAUGGAGCUGAAGUCAGUCGAAGAUACCAGCUGGCUGCAACUGUUUAUUAAAAACACAGCACUGUGCAAACACGAAAGUGGACGUAUACGGUGUGACGCCUGCCCGGUGCCGGAAGGUUAAUUGAUGGGGUCAGCGCAAGCGAAGCUCCUGAUCGAAGCCCCGGUAAACGGCGGCCGUAACUAUAACGGUCCUAAGGUAGCGAAAUUCCUUGUCGGGUAAGUUCCGACCUGCACGAAUGGCGUAAUGAUGGCCAGGCUGUCUCCACCCGAGACUCAGUGAAAUUGAACUCGCUGUGAAGAUGCAGUGUACCCGCGGCAAGACGGAAAGACCCCGUGAACCUUUACUAUAGCUUGACACUGAACAUUGAGCCUUGAUGUGUAGGAUAGGUGGGAGGCUUUGAAGUGUGGACGCCAGUCUGCAUGGAGCCGACCUUGAAAUACCACCCUUUAAUGUUUGAUGUUCUAACGUGGACCCGUUACCCGGGUUGCGGACAGUGUCUGGUGGGUAGUUUGACUGGGGCGGUCUCCUCCUAAAGAGUAACGGAGGAGCACGAAGGUUGGCUAAUCCUGGUCGGACAUCAGGAGGUUAGUGCAAUGGCAUAAGCCAGCUUGACUGCGAGCGUGACGGCGCGAGCAGGUGCGAAAGCAGGUCAUAGUGAUCCGGUGGUUCUGAAUGGAAGGGCCAUCGCUCAACGGAUAAAAGGUACUCCGGGGAUAACAGGCUGAUACCGCCCAAGAGUUCAUAUCGACGGCGGUGUUUGGCACCUCGAUGUCGGCUCAUCACAUCCUGGGGCUGAAGUAGGUCCCAAGGGUAUGGCUGUUCGCCAUUUAAAGUGGUACGCGAGCUGGGUUUAGAACGUCGUGAGACAGUUCGGUCCCUAUCUGCCGUGGGCGCUGGAGAACUGAGGGGGGCUGCUCCUAGUACGAGAGGACCGGAGUGGACGCAUCACUGGUGUUCGGGUUGUCAUGCCAAUGGCACUGCCCGGUAGCUAAAUGCGGAAGAGAUAAGUGCUGAAAGCAUCUAAGCACGAAACUUGCCCCGAG
rnacentral:rRNA from 1 species